rnacentral:tRNA from 1 species
CAAAAUAUAGCUUAUAAAAAGCGUGUUACUUACAUUAAUAAGAUGAUUGAUACUUGUCAGUUUAUUUUGA